rnacentral:rRNA from 1 species
GAAUUUUGCGCAAUGGGCGAAAGCCUGACGCAGCAACGCCGCGUGAGGGAUGAAGGCCUUCGGGUUGUAAACCUCUUUUCUCAGGGACGAUGAUGACGGUACCUGAGGAAUAAGCCACGGCUAACUACGUGCCCGCAGCCGCGGUAAUGCGUAGGUGGCGAGCGUUGGCCGGAUUUACUGGGCGUAAAGAGCGCGCAGGCGGUCGGUCAAGUCGAGUGUGAAAGCCCCCGGCUCAACUGGGGAGGGUCAUUCGAUACUGAUCGACUCGAAGGCAGGAGAGGGAAGUGGAAUUCCCGGUGUAGUGGUGAAAUGCGUAGAUAUCGGGAGGAACACCAGUGGCGAAGGCGACUUCCUGGCCUGUUUCUUGACGCUGAGGCGCGAAAGCUAGGGGAGCGAACGGG